GGUUCGGUUCGGUUCGGUUCCAGUAAAGCCGCCACCACCGCCUCCUCCCUCGCCGCCGCCAGUUCCUCCCAUGCCGCCCAAGCGCAAGCGCGGCGGAGGCCGCAGGAGGCUCAGCAAGGACGCUGCCGCGGCUGCCAGCUCCGACCCCGCCGCCGCAACCAAGGAAAAUGGUGAUGGAAAUCUCAAGGGGGAGAUGCGGGAGUCUUAUGCCGAGGAGAAUGGCGUGGAAGGGGUAGCCGAGAUCCCAAAAACCUCCAAAAGGCGCAGGAAGGAUCCUGUUGCGGACCCAUCUUCUCUCGUGUUUAGUGGUUCCGGGCGACUUCGGAAGAGGCGGAAUGCUUCAGCAGUACAGGAGCAGGAACCUAAGGAGGAAAAAAAGAGUGAUAAGGAUUCAAAUAUGUGCCAUCAGUGCCAGAGGAACGAUAGUGGAAGAGUUGUACGGUGCCAGGGCUGUGUUGAACGAGAAAAGAAAAUCAGAUACUGUGUGAAGUGCAUCAAGCGCUGGUAUCCACAUUUGUCAGAGGGUGAUUUUGCGAGCAAUUGCCCAGUUUGUCGCAAAAAUUGCAAUUGUAAGUCUUGUCUGCGGGGAGACAUAUCCCGAGUCUCUAGUAAGGGUAAGAAGUCUAAGAUAAAGGAGAGGAAAAUAUCCAGAGGCUCCAGGAAGCGUAAGGAGUCUGAGAUAAACGAGACUGACGAAUAUGGUGUGUCUAAAGAAGAUAAAAUUAAGUUCUCUAUGCGUACUCUGCGCUUUUUACUCCCUUGGCUGAAAGAAUUUCAUCAGGAGCAGAUGCUAGAGAAAAGUGUCGAGGCCUCAAUUAGAGGGAUUGAUACAUGCAAAGUGGAGGUUCCUCUAGCCAAGUGCGAAAGGGAUGAACGGAUAUACUGCGACAACUGCAGGACAUCUAUUGUUGACUUCCACCGAAGCUGCAACAAAUGUUCCUAUGAUCUCUGCCUCAGCUGCUGUCGGGAGCUUCGUCAAGGCCUUAAUCCAGGUGGUCAUGUCAGUAGUGACAAGUGUCUACCUGAUGCUGGAGGCAAGGAAGAUAGGCAACAGGGAAGUAGUCAUCGCAAAGUUGCAAAUCAAGAGCCAUCUGAUGGACAGGAUGAUAUUUUUAUAGAUAAUGCAGUUCCUUCUCAAGACCGCACUCAUUGUUUGACACGAUGGAGGGUAAAUAGCAAUGGAAGCAUACCUUGCCCACCGAAUGAAUUUGGUGGCUGUGGAAGUUCCGUUCUUGAACUUAAGUGCUUGUCUGAGGAGAAGUUUAUAGCUGACUUACUGGAGAAAGCCAAAUCACUGGUCAAUGAGGUAACAGUGCUGGAAUCGGGUGGUUCAAACUGUUCCUGCUUCACUGAAUCCAGUGGAAUGAACAAUGGAACAUCACGGAAAUCAGCAUGUAGAGAGAAUUCCCAUGACAACCACAUAUAUUGUCCAACUGCUAGAGAUGUUCAAAAUGGAAGUUUGGAGCAUUUCCAGGAGCACUGGUUGAAGGGUCAGCCUGUUAUUGUCCGUGAUACGCUUGCAUUGACUUCUGGUUUGAGCUGGGAACCAAUGGUUAUGUGGCGAGCCUUAAGAGAAAAGAGAGAUAAGACAACAGAUGAGCGUCUCUCAGUUAUUGCUCUUGAAUGUCUGACGUGGUGUGAGGUUGAUUUUAAUAUUCAUAUGUUUUUUGAUGGGUAUUCCCGUGGAGCUGUUGGUGCAGAGGAUUUGCCCGUGUUACUUAAGCUGAAAGAUUGGCCACAGCAUAGUUCCUUUGAGGAGCGACUGCCACGACAUAAUGCUGAAUUCAUGUCUGCUUUGCCAUUUCGCGAAUACACAGACCCUAAAUUUGGUCCUCUCAAUCUGGCUGUGAAGCUGCCAAAAAAUGUUAUAAAGCCGGACCUUGGUCCAAAGACUUACAUUGCUUAUGGUGUUGCCCAGGAGUUGGAAAUUGGUGACUCUGUUACCAAGCUUCAUUGUGACAUGUCUGAUGCGGUCAAUAUCCUCACACAUACUGAUGAAAUAAAGCUCAAAGUCAAAAGGAUUGAAGCAAUUGAGAAAAAGAAAGAGAGUUUAAAGAAGAAGGAAGAGAGUGGUAAUUUACAUGGUUCACAAACAGAUCUCGAAUCGACCAUGGGGCCAAGACGUAAAGGUUUGAGAAGUGGCUCAAACAUUCAGCAGCCGGCACUAGGUGUUGCUUCAGAGGGGCAGGAAGUUGUUGAAAAAGCUGUGGUAGCUGUUGAAGCUGAGGGAAACUUGACAAAGGCAAAUGGGCAACAGUCUGAUCAAAGCGCUGAGGAUCAUAUGGAUGUCCCUUUUACAAAUGGGAAAUCAGAAGUUGCUCUGUGUGCAACAAACAGUGGAGAGAAGUUGGGAAAUGAUUUCAACGGUGAAGGGAAAAUUGAGUCUCCAAGUGAUGCAGAGGAAGAUUUCGAACCAAAAGUGGGUAAAAUUGACAUAUCUCUUGAGCCGAAAGAUGAUAAUGCCCCAUUUGUAGAGGGGAACCAGACAGAGGGUGGUGCAUUGUGGGAUAUCUUCAGACGGGAAGAUGUCAGUAAACUACAUGAUUAUCUAAUGAAGCAUGCAAAGGAGUUCAGGCAUUGUAAUUACGAACCAGUGAAGCAGGUUUUUGCUCAUCCUAUACAUGAUCAAUGCUUUUAUCUUACAAAUGAGCACAAGAGAAAGCUUAAGGAAGAAUAUGGAAUUGAACCUUGGACAUUUGAACAGAAACUUGGUGAGGCAGUGUUUAUCCCAGCUGGAUGUCCUCACCAAGUCAGAAAUUUGAAGUCAUGUAUAAAGGUCGCACUUGACUUUGUUUCUCCGGAGAAUGUGCGAGAGUGCAUCAGGUUGACAGAAGAAUUCCGUCUGCUUCCAAAGGGGCAUAGGGUGAAUGAAGAUAAACUAGAGGUUAAGAAGAUAGCUCUUCACGCAGUCAACCAAGCCAUUAAGGACAUGACUGAAAAGGAUUGCGAGGAAAGCAUAAAGAAUGAAGCUGAAGGUGAGCUUAGCACCCCUAGCUCAAGCGAGGCUUCAGAGAGGGAGGAGCAGGAGGAGGGAUGAGCUGCUGAAGCCAUGCCAGUUGAUGUUUGCUGGAGGCGGUCAGGUAAAUUCCCGUGUAUGUUUGGUUCUGAAGCAGAUGGAUAUUACUGCUGGGUCGCCUUGACCCUGACCCUGGGAUCAAUUUGUGUGGAGGCGCGCGCGACGGCCGUGACGAUAGCGCUAGGUGAGGUGAGGAUGGGCGGCCAGCAGAGGAUGUCUCGACAUUUUCGCAGGCAGGCAGCUUCAAUCGGGGUGCGCGCACAGGAGGAGGAGGAGAGAAGAAGAAGAAGAAGAACUUCUCUCUCCAUCCCAAGAAAGACAACUUUUUUCUUCAUCCGAUAUUUUCCAUGGCAUCACGUGUGGUACCACAGUGUUGGAUUGAAUCUCAGCAACCCAACCGCUGCACUCUGCACUAAACUCCAACGAUGCUACGGAGACGGUUGGCUGCUGCUGGCAGUGGCAGUGCACGGCACACGUCAUCAUUUCAUUUAACAAUGUCACCCGUGUGUUGUCAUUUUUAAACUAUUCCAUAGUCCCACAUUUUGUUUCAAUAUACACACUUCACAUGACAUAUCAAUAUACCAGUCACUAAUAUAAUCUAAAAAAAUUCAUAAGUAAUAAUA